rnacentral:lncRNA from 1 species
UCCACGCCCUCCAUUUGUCCCGAAAUUGUUCAAAAAACUUGAUGAUUUUCGGAUUUUGGGCAGAUAUUUUGAGGUUUUCUUGAAGACUAUAUAUAUAUGAGGCAAGUCUCUUUGUUAAAGGAGGAGAGAGUAAACAGAGAUAAUGAUAUAGAAAAAACCCGAGAGAAAAAAAUAGAAAAAAAAUCAGAGAGAAAAUUAAAGGAAUAAAAAUCGAUAACAGAUCUUCAAUAGCUUAGCCAAAAUUUCUACUUCGUCAUUUCUCUUCAAUCCUUUUCUUUUCCGUCUGCUUCUUUCAUUUCGGAAAACAUAUAAAAAAUGUUCUUUUUUUAUCAAGAGAAUUUGAUUUAAAAUUUCAAGUUCUGGACGGGCUUGUUUUUCUGGAGCUCAAAUCUCGGCAGUGUUUCAGUCAAGCUGGUUGAUUCCUUUGUUAUUGUUGUUGCUCAGUUCAAGUUAGGAGCUAUGGUUUGUUUUAUUAGUUUGGAAUGUUGUAAUCACGGAAGCUUUGUUAAUUAAAUUACCAAUGACAUGAAUUAAAUUACAAAUUUGGGUUGAACUAUUGGC